UCCCUGGUAGUCCAGUGGCUGACUCAGAGCUCCCAUUGCAGGGGGCCCAGGUUCAAUUCCUGGUCAGGGAA
rnacentral:tRNA from 1 species